UUGGCACGAUGAUGAUUGAUUUAUUGUCAUAUGAUUUUUAUGUGAUUAAAAAACCUCCUACUCAUUCUGA